GACGAACGCUGGCGGCGUGCUUAACACAUGCAAGUCGAACGGAAAGGCCCUGCUUUUGUGCGGUGCUCGAGUGGCGAACGGGUGAGUAACACGUGAGUAACCUGCCCUUGACUUUGGGAUAACUUCAGGAAACUGGGGCUAAUACCGGAUAGGAGCUCCUGCUGCAUGGUGGGGGUUGGAAAGUUUCGGCGGUUGGGGAUGGACUCGCGGCUUAUCAGCUUGUUGGUGGGGUAGUGGCUUACCAAGGCUUUGACGGGUAGCCGGCCUGAGAGGGUGACCGGCCACAUUGGGACUGAGAUACGGCCCAGACUCCUACGGGAGGCAGCAGUGGGGAAUAUUGCACAAUGGGCGGAAGCCUGAUGCAGCAACGCCGCGUGCGGGAUGACGGCCUUCGGGCUGUAAACCGCUUUCGCCUGUGACGAAGCGUGAGUGACGGUAAUGGGUAAAGAAGCACCGGCUAACUACGUG
rnacentral:rRNA from 1 species